GACGAACGCUGGCGGCGUGCUUAACACAUGCAAGUCGAACGGAAAGGCCCUGCUUUUGUGGGGUGCUCGAGUGGCGAACGGGUGAGUAAAACGUGAGUAACCUGCCCUUGACUUUGGGAUAAAUUCAGGAAACUGGGGCUAAUACCGGGUAGGAGCUACUGCUGCAUGGUGGGGGUUGGAAAGUUUCGGCGGUUGGGGAUGGACUCGAGGCUUAUCAGCUUGUUGGUGGGGUAGUGGCUUACCAAGGCUUUGAAGGGUAGCCGGCCUGAGAGGGUGACCGGCCACAUUGGUACUGAGAGACGGCCCAGACGCCUAUGGGAGGCAGCAGGGGGGAAUAUUGCACAAUGGGCCGAAGCCUGAGGCAGCAACGCCGCGUGCGGGAUGACGGCCUUCGGGUUGUAAACCGCUUUCGCCUGUGACGAAGCGUGAUUGACGGUAAUGGGUAAAGAAGCACCGGCUAACUACGUG
rnacentral:rRNA from 1 species